GAUGAACGCUGGCGGCAUGCCUAAUACAUGCAAGUCGAACGGGAUAUCUUCGGAUAUCCAGUGGCGAACGGGUGAGUAACACGUAGGUAACCUGCCCAUGUGCCCGGGAUAACGCCUGGAAACGGGUGCUAAAACCGGAUAGGUAUCGCUCCUGCAUGGAAGAGAUAUUAAAGGAGCUGCAAGGCUCUGAACAUGGAUGGACCUGCGGUGCAUUAGCUGGUUGGUGAGGUAACGGCCCACCAAGGCGACGAUGCAUAGCCGGCCUGAGAGGGUGAACGGGCCACAUUGGGACUGAGACACGGCCCAAACUCCUACGGGAGGCAGCAGUAGGGAAUUUUUCGUCAAUGGGGGCAACCCUGAACGAGCAACGCCGCGUGAGUGAUGACGGCCUUCGGGUUGUAAAGCUCUGUUGCGGGGAAAACGCGCGUGGGAGGAAUGCCGCGCGUUGAUGGUACCCCGCCAGAAAAGUGACGGCUAACUACGUGACAGCAGCCGCCGCGGGUAAC
rnacentral:rRNA from 1 species